rnacentral:rRNA from 1 species
UACGUAGGGUGCAAGCGUUGUCCGGAAUUAUUGGGCGUAAAGAGCUCGUAGGCGGUUCGUCGCGUCGGCUGUGAAAUCCCGGAGCUCAACUCCGGGUCUGCAGUCGAUACGGGCGGACUUGAGUACUGCAGGGGAGACUGGAAUUCCUGGUGUAGCGGUGAAAUGCGCAGAUAUCAGGAGGAACACCGGUGGCGAAGGCGGGUCUCUGGGCCGAUACUGACACUGAGGAGCGAAAGCGUGGGGAGCGAACAGG